GCUGUCUGGCCGGUCGCUUGGCCCGGGUGGAAGCUAUGAGCGCGCCGCCAGCGGGGCUCCUCGGAGGCGGCGGGGCAGGCCCGAGCUGGGCUCCUGUGGCCGGGGUGGGAGGAGAAGAGGCCGCGCGGCACGGGUGAGUGCCCAGUCAUAGUGGUAGGAAGCAAAUGAUUUCAAAGCCCAGAUGAUGACAGAGACCCAUCUUGGAAGGGGCUUGGAUCCCUGAGUCACUGCUUGGAGGAGAGCUGCCUGAGAUGGCUUCCUGAUCAUGAACAUCCACGUUGGACUUUGCCUGAGCAAGGAAUAAACAUCCUAUCUUAAGACAAUGUGAUUUGGAGUUUUUGGCAUAUGACCAGCUUCAAUUACGCUGCAUAAUUUACAUGUCUUUUCCCUCUUUCCCAGGUAACUCAUAUGCCUCCCAGAUGUUUAUAUUUGGAAAGAGGGAAGAAGACCCAAAUAAUAACUGAGAUCAAAUUUCUCACCAACUCACUGGGACUCUGAGAGAUGCAUUUCAUUUGAUUUAAAGAAAAUAAAUUACUUUGAAACUAGA